UGUUUCAUCUUAUCCAGACUCCCCCUCCUCGCGGUCCUUUACCUUGCGGUGCUCCGCCCCACCCUGCCAACCUCCUGCUACACCCCUCGUGCCGCAGGCCACCUCCGACCCCGCUCCGCUCGUCACCACGCGCCGCCGGCCUUCUCCUGCCUCCCAAUCCCAUCUCCUCCUUACCCGCGGCUUUCUUCGCCGUUCACCGAUCCCCUCCACCUACUGGUCGUGACCUCGUACGUGGCAGAGGAUGGGAGGGUGCGGCGCUGGCGUCCGGCUCUAGGAGCUCGAGAGGGCCGAUCUGCGCAUCGGCGACCUCGCGGGAGGCAUGGCUUUGCGUGCUGCGCUCGAGACGAGCGGGCUCGAGUAAGGGGAUUGGAGGGUGGCAUCGGUGGGAUCACGGACGGGGAUGGAGUGGGCCGGUGCCGGCAAGAUCGAGGCCGGGGAUGGAGAGGGCGGUCGGCGAGCUAGCGGCUGAGGAUGCAAGAGGCGGCGCUAAUUCGCUGCUACCCGCACCGCACCACGUCCCUAGCUUCCUCCUCUCUGAUCGAACAAAUUCCGUUUUACAAAGGGAUCUAGCGACUAGAGGGGGAGCUGCCACCGGUGAUGCUGCCGGAGAAGCUGGCAAGGUUCCUCCAGAAGUGCGCCGAAGGAGUUCCAGGACGAGCCCCGGUAUAGCGGCGACCGGUGGUACCUUCACGGCUGGGUUCCAGAUGGUCUACAAUUACAAACUCCGUUGAUUAUUCAUGCUAUGGUCAAUGCUCUAUCGGCAGCCCACUGACCAGGCAACUCUGUCAUUGAGGACCGUGUGGACCGCAGGAGGAUCCCUGAUGCUUUGUUGCUCCUGUGAUCUUUAAUUUGUUGCGUGGUUGUCUACAAACGUACAAUAGCUUCAUUCAAAUUCUUUUUAGAAAUUGUUAGACGAAUUCCUUUGUAGAGCUCAGAGAAAAGAUCCGUAGACAAUAGAAUUAUGUUCAGGUUUGCAAUAAUUCGUUCUAUUUGCUUGCAAGCAACUUUCAUAAGCCAUUCAUUUGUUGGAUGAUGUUUGCAUGUAUUUCUAGCAAGUUAUAAAGUCUGGCGGAAGAUGCUUCAUGUAUUCUUUUGUGUGUCUAUCAGAACAGGCAUGGUGGGAGGGUGAUCCUCCGUUGACUGCUUUUCUUAAUAUUACAGAGGGAGGAUCAAAGUGGAGAUUGGUACUUUCCCUUUCAGCGGCCAAACAAAAGCAACACUUUUUCAUGUGACUUCAGAUGAAACGACCAGAGUGUGUAAAAUCCGGAUCGCUACAAAUAGGUCAAGAUUAACUUCUCCAAGCUCUCAGAAGAGAAGCAAUAAUGUGACUCCCAGGUGCCUCUCCGAGAGAAAAGCUGCAGAUGCUUUCUCAGUGGCAAAACAAAGGGAAGUAAUUGCUACGGACGCCAGCCAGCAGAUGAAAGGAGAAGGAUGAAGAAGUCGUGCUAUUGGAGAGAUCAAGUGAGCUCGAAAGAACUUUAGUGUUCUCAAAAGUAGCUUUAUUCAGUUUGAGUGAGUUUUGUGGCCUAAGUGUUGUAGCUAUUCAUUUUUCCACGCAUUCUGAAUGUUAGUACACACCCAUGUUGGUACAGAACUCCUAUUGUUAUGCCUGUUAUGACAACAACUUUCCCAGAUUUUUGUGCAUAAACAUACAUAUGUGGACUAAAUUCUUUUGUUACUUGCUCAGCCAAUACAUAUGUAUGCUUUUUUUGCGGGUGAAUACAUAUUUAUGCUAAUAUA